rnacentral:lncRNA from 1 species
GGGAGAUGAAAACUUGGCACCAUCACCCCAGCUUCAGAACUCCCCUGGGGCUCUCCUUAAUGAGCUAACGUCCUCCACAGGAAUGUUCGUCUGCGGGGUUGCUUCCUGGGAACCAGCCUGUCCCGGGGUUCCUGAAGCUGCUCUGCUUCUUCAUCGUCCCCUUCAGUUCUCUGAGCCACUCCAGCAAUAUAUUCUCAUUUUUUGUUAGACGUCUUUUGAGUUUAAAUUUUGUCACUUCUAAACACUUCUGAAAGAUUC